GGCGUGGCUUCCGGAGCUAACGCGUUAAGUCGACCGCCUGGGGAGUACGGCCGCAAGGUUAAAACUCAAAUGAAUUGACGGGGGCCCGCACAAGCGGUGGAGCAUGUGGUUUAAUUCGAUGCAACGMGAAGAAMCUUACCUGGUCUUGACAUCCACAGAAGUUUUCAGAGAUGARWAKGUGCCUUCGGGAACCGUGAGACAGGUGCUGCAUGGCUGUCGUCAGCUCGUGUUGUGAAAUGUUGGGUUAAGUCCCGCAACGAGCGCAACCCUUAUCCUUUGUUGCCAGCGGUCCGGCCGGGAACUCAAAGGAGACUGCCAGUGAUAAACUGGAGGAAGGUGGGGAUGACGUCAAGUCAUCAUGGCCCUUACGACCAGGGCUACACACGUGCUACAAUGGCGCAUACAAAGAGAAGCGACCUCGCGAGAGCAAGCGGACCUCAUAAAGUGCGUCGUAGUCCGGAUUGGAGUCUGCAACUCGACUCCAUGAAGUCGGAAUCGCUAGUAAUCGUGGAUCAGAAUGCCACGGUGAAUACGUUCCCGGGCCUUGUACACACCGCCCGUCACACCAUGGGAGUGGGUUGCAAAAGAAGUAGGUAGCUU
rnacentral:rRNA from 1 species